ACAGACACCUCUGCUUUUCUGUGCUAGCAGACACAAUGCCUCCAGAAGUUCAAGCGCAUACUUUCAAAAAGAGUCACGAGUUCAGAAGAUCAGAUGGAAAAGAACACUAAAUUCAAGGGAGAGGUUUAAAGAAAUGAUAAAAGAUAUCCAAGGAGAGCUGGACAGGUUACCAACAGUGUUUGCUACAAAUCAGACAAGAAGGCUCCAAGACCCAAACCUUACGGUCAAACAUGAAUCAGGAGAAACACAGCAAAGAAAACUCAAAAACUUCCUCAGCAUCCCGAGAGGAGUGAAAGGCAGGGGCCAUAUGAAAACUGUGAAGACUUUUCCUGCCUUGGCCCGAAGUUAAAAUAAAAAUCAAUCUUCCUUGAGCUCGUUGCUGUAUUUAACUGUUGAACUUACCCAGACCUUGAUCAGUUCC
rnacentral:lncRNA from 1 species